AGUCUCUCCUCUCCUCUGAUGAAGACAACGGCGACAGCAACCAAACGCAGCAUUUGGCGACCGGUGACCGGCGGCCCAACUCGUCGACGGCGAUAAAGCAACUGCCGAUGAAAGGUAAAGAAUUCAUCGAGUUCACGGAGGGCGAAAAGUUGGGCAUUGAUACCACUAGGAGUCAAAGACCUCCCAAACCAUGUCCCUUGGGUGCCAAUGUUGCACCCCGUCAUAUAUCAAUCUUGAAAAGCCAUGAUAUGUCACCUCAUGAAGACUUAAAAUAUGUUUCGGAGAUGGAGGAGGACUUGCCGAAGAUGAAGAUGAACGAGAUCGGUACAAAAGAAAAAGAAAAAUGUACGAAGUACAACAGAAACUUGGAGACUGAUUUCAUAGGGAUGGAGAAGCACGUGCUUGAAAUAAACUUAGGAAACGUAGAGAAAAAUCAAUGUGAAAUGAAAGAUAUGUUGGCAAACAUCUUAAAAAGCCUUGAGCCCAAAGAACAGGGUCGAAAAGUGUACGGAA